ACGUAGGGUGCGAGCGUUAAUCAGAAUUACUGGGCGUAAAGCGCGCGCAGGCGGUUCGCUAAGACAGGUGUGAAAUCCCCGGGCUUAACCUGGGAAUGGCGCUUGUGACUGGCGGACUGGAGUACGGCAGAGGGGGGUGGAAUUCCACGUGUAGCGGUGAAAUGCGUAGAGAUGUGGAGGAACACCAGUGGCGAAGGCAGCACCCUGGAUAGAUACUGACGCUCA
rnacentral:rRNA from 1 species